GAUGAACGCUGGCGGCGUGCCUAAUACAUGCAAGUCGAGCGAACGGACGAGAAGCUUGCUUUUCUGAUGUUAGCGGCGGACGGGUGAGUAACACGUGGAUAACCUACCUAUAAGACUGGGAUAACUUCGGGAAACCGGAGCUAAUACCGGAUAAUAUUUUGAACCGCAUGGUUCAAAAGUGAAAGACGGUCUUGCUGUCACUUAUAGAUGGAUCCGCGCUGCAUUAGCUAGUUGGUAAGGUAACGGCUUACCAAGGCAACGAUGCAUAGCCGACCUGAGAGGGUGCGCGGCCACACUGGAACUGAGACACGGCCAAGACUCCUGGGGGAGGGAGCAGUAGGGAAUCUUCGGAAAGGGGGGAAAGCCGGACGGAGCAGCGCGGCGUGAGGGAUAAAGGUCUUGGGAUCGUAAAACUCUUUUAUGGGGAAAAAACAAAUGUGAAAGAACGUGUGCACGUCUUGACGGUACCUAAUAAAAAAGCCACGGCUAACUACGUG
rnacentral:rRNA from 1 species